CUCGUAGGUGGCCAACUAAGUCACACGUGAAAUCCCUCGGCUUAACCGGGGAACUGCGUGUGAUACUGGAUGGCUUGAGUUUGGGAGAGGGAUGCGGAAUUCCAGGUGUAGCGGUGAAAUGCGUAGAUAUCUGGAGGAACACCGGUGGCGAAGGCGGCAUCCUGGACCAAUACUGACGCUGAGGAGCGAAAGCCAGGGGAGACGAAC
rnacentral:rRNA from 1 species